CUCCAUGGUUCAUGGCUCUGUGGAGAUACUCUACUGCACAGUGGAGAGAAAUGUGAGCAGAAUUCCAUCUCCACAAAGUUGCCUUGAGAUCAUAAGCAAGAUGCAUCUGAACCAAUUCAGCUAAGAGUAAGAUGAAAAUGGAGAGCCACUUUGGCCCUGAUGCCACCUGUGAGCAGGGGUUUUGCCCACAUGGGGCCAUUGGGCUGAAGUGAGGAGUUACAGAAGAAGAGCUGUGAGGGAGACAAGGAAAGCAGAGGAGGACACAGGGGGAGGAGAGGAGAUGGACAAGCAGGUGACAAAAGAAGGCAAAUGAUGGGAAAAAGUCAGAGGAGAGAGCAACAGGAAAAGGGGA
rnacentral:lncRNA from 1 species